CUUUACCACUGUCGUUACACAUCUUCACAGUUCUCCUUUUCCAACCAGAGGGCUUCGUAAGCUGGGAAUCAGGUAGGUUAGUAUCAGGCGUCCCUUGCACAAAAGGCCUAUAACUGCGGGGCAGACUAACGAAAGGUCCUCCCAGAGUGAGCCUCUCACCUCAAGUCUUAAAGGACUUUGGCCUGCGCCUCCAGCCUCUGGCCAGUUGGCUGCGCUCCACCAGUAAGGGUUCUCGAGCCCCCGGGCAGCCUGCGGGGGGCAGCGAGGCGCAAAGACCAUGCCCCAAGUGCCGAGGGAAAGUCCUGAGAUGCGCGACUUGGGACGCUAGGGGCCAAGCUCCGACGCGGGGCUGGGUGCACCUGGACGCACCUCACACGCCGCGAGCUAAGCAGAAAAGGGAGGCAGGCUGCCCCGACACCCCACUACUCACCGCUAGGUUUCCGUCUGGCGCCGAUCCGGCUGCGUCACGCCGGCCGAACGACACCCCGCUGAGUCGCCGCCGCAGGGAAGGUACCUUCGGCCCCAACGGGAAAAGCCAAUUUCCAGUAAUUCGCGCCCGACCACCGGGGAGUGAAUGUUUCCCUCUGAGGAUGAAGAUCACUAUAAACAACUCUGAUGAGAUCAUGCUGACACAAUGCCCCUUCUGUCAAAGCCAUGGAUCCAAUUGUUGAAGGCUACAAAAAUAAGGACGUGACUUGACUCUCCUGCCUCUCUGCUUAUGUUCAAUUGAUAGCUGCUUCCAGAAACCUCACCGGCUCCUCAUCUCAACAGGCCAAAACUAUACCUCUUCAUAAGACCCAGCUUAGAUGGCAUCACCUCAAUAAAGCCUGCCAUGAUAACUUCAGCUAACAUCUGAGUUUCUCUCUAAAAUCCUCUUAUUAUACAAACCACAUUAUUAGUUAUCUAUAAACAUGUCUUUUCGAACACAGCAGGAGUUUCCUAAAAGCAGGUGCCACACAUGUAAUUCUCCAUAUUUUCAGUGUCCA
rnacentral:lncRNA from 1 species